rnacentral:rRNA from 1 species
GAUGAACGCUAGCGAUAGGCUUAACACAUGCAAGUCGAGGGCAGCAUAGGAAUAGCAAUAUUCCGGUGGCGACCGGCGCACGGGUGAGUAACACGUAUGCAACCUACCCAUAACUGCGAAAUAACUCGUCGAAAGGCGGACUAAUACCGCAUAACAACGCAAUCCCGCAUGAGAUUGCGUUUAAAGAUUAAUCGGUUAUGGAUGGGCAUGCGUUCCAUUAGGCAGUUGGUGAGGUAACGGCUCACCAAACCUACGAUGGAUAGGGGUUCUGAGAGGAAGGUCCCCCACAUUGGUACUGAGACACGGACCAAACUCCUACGGGAGGCAGCAGUGAGGAAUAUUGGUCAAUGGGCGAGAGCCUGAACCAGCCAAAUCGCGUGAAGGAUGAAGGUAUUAUGUAUUGUAAACUUCUUUUAUCGGGGAAUAAAGUGCGGGACGUGUCCCGUUUUGUAUGUACCCGAAGAAUAAGGAUCGGCUAACUCCGUG